GCUACAUUUUUAACUGGAUUUAACCACACUCAAGUGAUUACAAAACUAUGGCACGUGACCAUAUCUUGAUGAUGAAAGUGUGUGGCUGAAGGCAGGAACUGAAAAAAAAAUUAAACAUGUCAUGUUUAUCCUACACCGACUUCACCACAUACACAGAAAGUCAGUAUUUGCUGGAUCAAGGACUGACGGUCCACUUGGUGAGGAGGCUAAGCUGAUGAUAAUUAAAGAGGCUUAAGCAUCAUUUAACCCAAGUCUUUGAAAGGUGAAAGUUCAGUACUUGGCACUAUCCUCCUCCAACUCCUUGGAAGUCCUGAAGGACAUUUGUGGGCAGACAUGCUGCACUGAUAAGCUUUGGUGAGUGUUCACCUACACUAGACCCAGGCUGACAACAAAACCUGCUCUUAACCCACUGCGAGUUCCAGGAGCCCUCAGAAGGUUUCCAAGACACAGUGGAUGAAUUGAUGAGGAAGACUCAAGGGAAGGUAGUUAAUUAGGGCUUGUAUGCCAUUUACGAUUCAACUACUCAUGUUUGUGUCUUAGCUUUUGACAGAAGACAUAGGACAAGAUGGAGGGCAUGUGAGCACAAGGCCUGUCUAAGCUGUGCAGGGAGUUGGCAAAACUAGACCUCAACUGUGUUGAGGAAUCAGACUUAGGUUUUCAUUCUGCCAGUUCUCAGAAAUGACAACGUUUAAAAAUUCUGCAAAGAAUUCCAGCUAAGGCAUUUCCCACUCUCACCAAUGUUACUGUGUUAUCAGAGGUCUCACUGACUGUUGUUGACAAGCCAACUGUGUAGAUAUGCAACAGAUAUGUCACUUCAUAACCUCCAAGUAGCUUCACAUGUAUGAGUUCACAGUGAUGGCUUCAUUUUAUGAUUGUAUAUGUAUUCAAGAUAAGAAAACCAAGCAGUAAAGUUUAAAAAGGGAAAAGCCAGGUGGUCUGAAAUCUUUCUACAUAAAAAUAAAUCUUUUCUUACCAUCAGAUGAACAUUUUUCAAAGACUCUCCCCAUAGAUAAC